rnacentral:rRNA from 1 species
AACGAACGCUGGCGGCAUGCCUAACACAUGCAAGUCGAACGAGACCUUCGGGUAUAGUGGCGCACGGGUGCGUAACGCGUGGGAACCUGCCCUUAGGUUCGGAAUAACUCCCCGAAAGGGGUGCUAAUACCGGAAAAUGUCUUCGGACCAAAGAUUUAUCGCCUUUGGAUGGGCCCGCGUUGGAUUAGCUAGUUGGUAGGGUAAAAGCCUACCAAGGCGACGAUCCAUAGCGGGUCUGAGAGGAUGAUCAGCCACACUGGGACUGAGACACGGCCCAGACUCCUACGGGAGGCAGCAGUGCGGAAUAUUGGACAAUGGGCGAAAGCCUGAUCCAGCAAUGCCGCGUGAGUGAUGAAGUCCUUAGGGUUGUAAAGCCCUUUUACCCGGGAUGAUAAUGACAGUACCGGGAGAAUAAGCUCCGGCUAACUCCGUG